rnacentral:rRNA from 1 species
GAUGAACGCUAGCGGCAGGCUUAACACAUGCAAGUCGAGGGGUAGAGGAAGCUUGCUUCCUUGAGACCGGCGCACGGUGCGUAACGCGUAUGCAAUCUACCUUAUACAGGGGGAUAGCCCAGAGAAAUUUGGAUUAAUACCCCAUAGUAUAAUUGAAUGGCAUCAUUUAAUUAUUAAAAGUUCCAACGGUAUAAGAUGAGCAUGCGUCCCAUUAGCUAGUUGGUGUGGUAACGGCACACCAAGGCGACGAUGGGUAGGGGUCCUGAGAGGGAGAUCCCCCACACUGGUACUGAGACACGGACCAGACUCCUACGGGAGGCAACAGUGAGGAAUAUUGGUCAAUGGGCGCAAGCCUGAACCAGCCAUGCCGCGUGCAGGAUGACGGUCCUAUGGAUUGAAACUGCUUUUGUACAGGAAGAAACACUCCCUCGUGAGGGAGCUUUGACGGUACUGUAAGAAUAAGGAUCGGCUAACUCCGUGCCAGCAGCCGC